rnacentral:rRNA from 1 species
GACGAACGCUGGCGGCGUGCUUAACACAUGCAAGUCGAACGAUGAAGCUGGAGCUUGCUCCGGUGGAUUAGUGGCGAACGGGUGAGUAACACGUGAGCAAUCUGCCCUUGACUCUGGGAUAACUGCGGGAAACUGUAGCUAAUACCGGAUACUUUCACUGGAAGGCAUCUUCUGGUGCAGAAAGAAUUUCGGUCAAGGAUGAGCUCGCGGCCUAUCAGCUUGUUGGUGAGGUAACGGCUCACCAAGGCGACGACGGGUAGCCGGCCUGAGAGGGUGACCGGCCACACUGGGACUGAGACACGGCCCAGACUCCUACGGGAGGCAGCAGUGGGGAAUAUUGCACAGUGGGCGCAAGCCUGAUGCAGCAACGCCGCGUGAGGGAUGAAGGCCUUCGGGUUGUAAACCUCUUUUAGCAGGGAAGAAGCGAAAGUGACGGUACCUGCAGAAAAAGCACCGGCUAACUACGUGCCAGCCGCCGCAGUAA